GCAAAGUAGGAAUCGGUGCGUUAAGUGAGAGAGGAACGGGAAGUUGUCCUUUCUACGAAAAGCGUUUUGCUUGCGGUGCCGUUUCCGCAUUCCGUUG
rnacentral:ncRNA from 1 species